rnacentral:rRNA from 1 species
AACGAACGCUGGCGGCGUGCCUAACACAUGCAAGUCGAACGUGAUUGGAAGCUUGCUUCCAUGAAAGUGGCGCACGGGUGAGUAACGCGUAGAUAAUCUACCUGAUGGAUCGGGAUAACACUUCGAAAGGGGUGCUAAUACCGGAUAAGCCCACGGAGUCCUUGGACACUGCGGGAAAAGGAGGGGACCUUCGGGCCGUCCGUCAUCAGAUGAGUCUGCGUACCAUUAGCUAGUUGGUAGGGUAAAGGCCUACCAAGGCGACGAUGGUUAGCUGGUCUGAGAGGAUGAUCAGCCACACUGGAACUGAGACACGGUCCAGACUCCUACGGGAGGCAGCAGUGGGGAAUUUUGCGCAAUGGGGGAAACCCUGACGCAGCAACGCCGCGUGAGUGAUGAAGGCCCUUGGGUCGUAAAGCUCUGACAGAGGGAAAGAAAUGUGGGUGGCUAAUAUCCAUUCCACUUGACGGUACCCUCAAAGGAAGCACCGGCUAACUCCGUGCCAGCCGCCGCAGUAAGAC